rfam:Gossypium arboreum cultivar AKA8401 contig_19812_5, whole genome shotgun sequence.
AACCCAUGGUGAAAGAAAUGUCUCAAUAAUUCCUUAUACCUCUCCCUUGCAUCAUAUAGGGUUUUUAGGUCGAUUUGAAUGAAGGAAGAGAUAUCAUUCCUUAAUUU